UGCAGUCGAGCGGGCAUAGCAAUAUGUCAGCGGCAGACGGGUGAGUAACGCGUGGGAACAUACCUUUUGGUUCGGAACAACACAGGGAAACUUGUGCUAAUACCGGAUAAGCCCUUACGGGGAAAGAUUUAUCGCCGAAAGAUUGGCCCGCGUCUGAUUAGCUAGUUGGUGAGGUAAUGGCUCACCAAGGCGACGAUCAGUAGCUGGUCUGAGAGGAUGAUCAGCCACAUUGGGACUGAGACACGGCCCAAACUCCUACGGGAGGCAGCAGUGGGGAAUAUUGGACAAUGGGCGCAAGCCUGAUCCAGCCAUGCCGCGUGAGUGAUGAAGGCCCUAGGGUUGUAAAGCUCUUUUGUGCGGGAAGAUAAUGACGGUACCGCAAGAAUAAGCCCCGGCUAACUUCGUGCCAGCAGCCGCGGUAAUACGAAGGGGGCUAGCGUUGCUCGGAAUCACUGGGCGUAAAGGGUGCGUAGGCGGGUCUUUAAGUCAGGGGUGAAAUCCUGGAGCUCAACUCCAGAACUGCCUUUGAUACUGAGGAUCUUGAGUUCGGGAGAGGUGAGUGGAACUGCGAGUGUAGAGGUGAAAUUCGUAGAUAUUCGCAAGAACACCAGUGGCGAA
rnacentral:rRNA from 1 species